rnacentral:rRNA from 1 species
GACGAACGCUGGCGGCGUGCUUAACACAUGCAAGUCGAGCGGAAAGGCCACUUCGGUGGUACUCGAGCGGCGAACGGGUGAGUAACACGUGAGUAAUCUGCCCCUGGCUUUGGGAUAGCCACCGGAAACGGUGAUUAAUACCGGAUACGACCACUUCUCGCAUGGGAUGGUGGUGGAAAGUUUUUUCGGCCAGGGAUGUGCUCGCGGCCUAUCAGCGUGAUGGUGAGGUAAUGGCUCACCAUGGCUUCGACGGGUAGCCGGCCUGAGAGGGUGAACGGUCACACUGGGACUGGGGCACGGCCCAGACUCCUACGGGAGGCAGCAGUGGGGAAUAUUGGACAAUGGGCGGAAGCCUGAUCCAGCAACGCCGCGUGAGGGAUGACGGCCUUCGGGUUGUAAACCUCUUUCAGCAGGGACGAAGCGCAAGUGACGGUACCUGCAGAAGAAGCACCGGCCAACUACGUGCCAGCCGCCGCCGUAA